rnacentral:tRNA from 1 species
GCCCCCAUAGCUCAGCUGGUAGAGCAAAUCCCUCUUAAGGAUAAGGUCACAGGUUCGAACCCUGUUGGGGGUACCA